rnacentral:rRNA from 1 species
UUAAGCGACUAAGCGUACACGGUGGAUGCCCUGGCAGUCAGAGGCGAUGAAGGACGUGCUAAUCUGCGAUAAGCGUCGGUAAGGUGAUAUGAACCGUUAUAACCGGCGAUUUCCGAAUGGGGAAACCCAGUGUGAUUCGUCACACUAUCAUUAACUGAAUCCAUAGGUUAAUGAGGCGAACCGGGGGAACUGAAACAUCUAAGUACCCCGAGGAAAAGAAAUCAACCGAGAUUCCCCCAGUAGCGGCGAGCGAACGGGGAGCAGCCCAGAGCCUGAAUCAGUGUGUGUGUUAGUGGAAGCGUCUGGAAAGGCGUGCGAUACAGGGUGACAGCCCCGUACACAAAAAUGCACAUACUGUGAGCUCGAUGAGUAGGGCGGGACACGUGGUAUCCUGUCUGAAUAUGGGGGGACCAUCCUCCAAGGCUAAAUACUCCUGACUGACCGAUAGUGAACCAGUACCGUGAGGGAAAGGCGAAAAGAACCCCGGCGAGGGGAGUGAAAAAGAACCUGAAACCGUGUACGUACAAGCAGUGGGAGCACGCUUAGGCGUGUGACUGCGUACCUUUUGUAUAAUGGGUCAGCGACUUAUAUUCUGUAGCAAGGUUAACCGAAUAGGGGAGCCGAAGGGAAACCGAGUCUUAACUGGGCGUUAAGUUGCAGGGUAUAGACCCGAAACCCGGUGAUCUAGCCAUGGGCAGGUUGAAGGUUGGGUAACACUAACUGGAGGACCGAACCGACUAAUGUUGAAAAAUUAGCGGAUGACUUGUGGCUGGGGGUGAAAGGCCAAUCAAACCGGGAGAUAGCUGGUUCUCCCCGAAAGCUAUUUAGGUAGCGCCUCGUGAAUUCAUCUCCGGGGGUAGAGCACUGUUUCGGCAAGGGGUCAUCCCGACUUACCAACCCGAUGCAAACUGCGAAUACCGGAGAAUGUUAUCACGGGAGACACACGGCGGGUGCUAACGUCCGUCGUGAAGAGGGAAACAACCCAGACCGCCAGCUAAGGUCCCAAAGUCAUGGUUAAGUGGGAAACGAUGUGGGAAGGCCCAGACAGCCAGGAUGUUGGCUUAGAAGCAGCCAUCAUUUAAAGAAAGCGUAAUAGCUCACUGGUCGAGUCGGCCUGCGCGGAAGAUGUAACGGGGCUAAACCAUGCACCGAAGCUGCGGCAGCGACACUAUGUGUUGUUGGGUAGGGGAGCGUUCUGUAAGCCUGUGAAGGUGUACUGUGAGGUAUGCUGGAGGUAUCAGAAGUGCGAAUGCUGACAUAAGUAACGAUAAAGCGGGUGAAAAGCCCGCUCGCCGGAAGACCAAGGGUUCCUGUCCAACGUUAAUCGGGGCAGGGUGAGUCGACCCCUAAGGCGAGGCCGAAAGGCGUAGUCGAUGGGAAACAGGUUAAUAUUCCUGUACUUGGUGUUACUGCGAAGGGGGACGGAGAAGGCUAUGUUGGCCGGGCGACGGUUGUCCCGGUUUAAGCGUGUAGGCUGGUUUUCCAGGCAAAUCCGGAAAAUCAAGGCUGAGGCGUGAUGACGAGGCACUACGGUGCUGAAGCAACAAAUGCCCUGCUUCCAGGAAAAGCCUCUAAGCAUCAGGUAACAUCAAAUCGUACCCCAAACCGACACAGGUGGUCAGGUAGAGAAUACCAAGGCGCUUGAGAGAACUCGGGUGAAGGAACUAGGCAAAAUGGUGCCGUAACUUCGGGAGAAGGCACGCUGAUAUGUAGGUGAAGUCCCUCGCGGAUGGAGCUGAAAUCAGUCGAAGAUACCAGCUGGCUGCAACUGUUUAUUAAAAACACAGCACUGUGCAAACACGAAAGUGGACGUAUACGGUGUGACGCCUGCCCGGUGCCGGAAGGUUAAUUGAUGGGGUCAGCGCAAGCGAAGCUCUUGAUCGAAGCCCCGGUAAACGGCGGCCGUAACUAUAACGGUCCUAAGGUAGCGAAAUUCCUUGUCGGGUAAGUUCCGACCUGCACGAAUGGCGUAAUGAUGGCCAGGCUGUCUCCACCCGAGACUCAGUGAAAUUGAACUCGCUGUGAAGAUGCAGUGUACCCGCGGCAAGACGGAAAGACCCCGUGAACCUUUACUAUAGCUUGACACUGAACAUUGAGCCUUGAUGUGUAGGAUAGGUGGGAGGCUUUGAAGUGUGGACGCCAGUCUGCAUGGAGCCGACCUUGAAAUACCACCCUUUAAUGUUUGAUGUUCUAACGUUGACCCGUAAUCCGGGUUGCGGACAGUGUCUGGUGGGUAGUUUGACUGGGGCGGUCUCCUCCUAAAGAGUAACGGAGGAGCACGAAGGUUGGCUAAUCCUGGUCGGACAUCAGGAGGUUAGUGCAAUGGCAUAAGCCAGCUUGACUGCGAGCGUGACGGCGCGAGCAGGUGCGAAAGCAGGUCAUAGUGAUCCGGUGGUUCUGAAUGGAAGGGCCAUCGCUCAACGGAUAAAAGGUACUCCGGGGAUAACAGGCUGAUACCGCCCAAGAGUUCAUAUCGACGGCGGUGUUUGGCACCUCGAUGUCGGCUCAUCACAUCCUGGGGCUGAAGUAGGUCCCAAGGGUAUGGCUGUUCGCCAUUUAAAGUGGUACGCGAGCUGGGUUUAGAACGUCGUGAGACAGUUCGGUCCCUAUCUGCCGUGGGCGCUGGAGAACUGAGGGGGGCUGCUCCUAGUACGAGAGGACCGGAGUGGACGCAUCACUGGUGUUCGGGUUGUCAUGCCAAUGGCACUGCCCGGUAGCUAAAUGCGGAAGAGAUAAGUGCUGAAAGCAUCUAAGCACGAAACUUGCCCCGAGAUGAGUUCUCCCUGACUCCUUGAGAGUCCUGAAGGAACGUUGAAGACGACGACGUUGAUAGGCCGGGUGUGUAAGCGCAGCGAUGCGUUGAGCUAACCGGUACUAAUGAACCGUGAGGCUUAACCU